rnacentral:tRNA from 1 species
GGGGCUGGGGCUCAGUGGUAGAGCACUCUCCUGUCAUGUGUGAGGCACUGGGUUCAAUCCUCAGCACCACCU